CGACGUGGGCAACCUGCCCCAUAGAGGGGGACAACAGCUGGAAACGGCUGCUAAUGCCGCAUAACAAGGAGAGAGCGCAUGUUCUUUUCUUCAAAGAUUUAUCGCUAUGGGAUGGACCCGCGUCUGAUUAGCUAGUUGGUGAGGUAACGGCUCACCAAGGCGACGAUCAGUAGCCGGCUUGAGAGAGUGAACGGCCACAUUGGGACUGAGACACGGCCCAGACUCCUACGGGAGGCAGCAG
rnacentral:rRNA from 1 species